rnacentral:rRNA from 1 species
GACGUAGGGCGCGAGCGUUGUCCGGAUUUAUUGGGCGUAAAGAGCUCGUAGGCGGCUUGUCGCGUCGACUGUGAAAACCCGGGGCUCAACCCCGGCCUGCAGCCGAUACGGGCAGACUAGAGUUCGGCAGGGGAGACUGGAAUUCCUGGUGUAGCGGUGAAAUGCGUAGAUAUCGGGAGGAACACCAGUGGCGAAGGCGGCUUCUGGCCCUGUUCUUGACGCUGAGGCGGCGAAA